rnacentral:rRNA from 1 species
UGGGGAAUCUUGCGCAAUGGGCGAAAGCCUGACGCAGCGAUGCCGCGUGCGGGAUGAAGGCCUUCGGGUUGUAAACCGCUUUCAGCAGGGACGAAAAUGACGGUACCUGCAGAAGAAGCCCCGGCCAACUACGUGCCAGCAGCCGCGGUAAUACGUAGGGGGCGAGCGUUGUCCGGAUUUAUUGGGCGUAAAGAGCUCGUAGGCGGUUCGAUAAGUCGGAUGUGAAAUCUCCACGCUUAACGUGGAGGGUGCAUUCGAUACUGUCGUGACUAGAGUCCGGUAGAGGAGUGUGGAAUUCCUGGUGUAGCGGUGAAAUGCGCAGAGAUCAGGAGGAACACCCGUAGCGAAGGCGGCACUCUGGGCCGGAACUGACGCUGAGGAGCGAAAGCGUGGGUAGCGAACAGGAUUAGAUACCCCCGUAGUCC